rnacentral:rRNA from 1 species
GACGAACGCUGGCGGCGUGCUUAACACAUGCAAGUCGAGCGGUAAGGCCCUUUCGGGGGUACACGAGCGGCGAACGGGUGAGUAACACGUGGGUGACCUGCCCUCAGCUCUGGGAUAAGCCUGGGAAACUCGGGCUAAUACCGGAUGUGAUGUCCACACACAAGUGUGUCCAUCAAAGGAAGCUUCGGCCUCCACAUCGGGAUGGGCCCGCGGCCCAUUAGCUAGUUGGNGGGGUAAAGGCCUACCAAGGCAACGAUGGGUAGCUGGUCUGAGAGGACGAUCAGCCACACUGGGACUGAGACACGGCCCAGACUCCUACGGGAGGCAGCAGUGGGGAAUCUUGCGCAAUGCGCGAAAGCGUGACGCAGCAACGCCGCGUGAGGGAAGACGGCCUCGGUUGUAAC